rnacentral:rRNA from 1 species
UACAGAGGGUGCGAGCGUUAAUCGGAAUUAUUGGGCGUAAAGGGCGUGUAGGCGGAUAUUUAAGUUAGGUGUGAAAUACUUGGGCUCAACCUGAGGACUGCAUCUAAAACUGGAUACCUAGAGUAUGGUAGAGGGAAGUGGAAUUUCCGGAGUAGCGGUGGAAUGCAUAGAUACCGGAAGGAACAUCAGUGGCGAAGGCGGCUUCCUGGACCAAUACUGACGCUGAGGCGCGAAAGCAUGGGUAGCAAACAGG